rnacentral:rRNA from 1 species
UACGUAGGGGGCAAGCGUUGUCCGGAAUCAUUGGGCGUAAAGAGCGUGUAGGCGGCCCGGUAAGUCCGCUGUGAAAGUCCAGGGCUCAACCCUGGGAUGCCGGUGGAUACUGUCGGGCUCGAGUCCGGAAGAGGAGUGUGGAAUUCUUGGUGUAGCGGUGAAAUGCGCAGAUAUCAGGAGGAACACCAAUGGCGAAGGCAGCACUCUGGGACGUGACUGACGCUGAGACGCGAAAGCGUGGGGAGCAAACAGG